rnacentral:rRNA from 1 species
AGUGAACGCUGGCGGUAGGCCUAACACAUGCAAGUCGAACGGCAGCACAAUGAGGCUUUGCGCUUAGGUGUGGCGAGGCGGAGGGGUGUGAAAUGUACGGCGAGAUGUACGUUGUCGGGGGGUAACUAGUAGGGAAACUAACUCUAAUACCACAUAGUCGCUACAGGUAAGAGCGGGGGAUCCUCGCACCUUGCGCGCGUGAAUGAGCCGAUGGGGGAUUAGCUAGUUGGCGGGGUAAAGGCCCACCAAGGCGACGAUCCAUAGCUGGUCUGAGAGGAUGAUCAGCCACACUGGAACUGAGACACGGUCCAGACUCCUACGGGAGGCAGCAGUGGGGAAUAUUGGACAAUGGGCGCAAGCCUGAUGCAGCCAUACCGCGUGGAUGAAGAAGGCCUUCGGGUUGUAAAGCCCUUUUGUUGGGUAAGAAAAGCAGAAGGUUAAUACCUCGCUGUUCUGACGGUACCCACAGAAUAAGCACCGGCUAACUUCGUG